GCUAGCCUGACCACCUGAUCCCGUUCGUCGCCUCUUACGACAAGCAUGGGUUACUGAAGAACAAUUCUUCACGGGUUGUCUUAUGACAGCAAUGGUGGCUGAAGACCAGUCCUAAGGCCAGAU